rnacentral:rRNA from 1 species
UACGAAGGGGGCUAGCGUUGUUCGGAAUUACUGGGCGUAAAGGGCGCGUAGGCGGUACUUCAAGUCAGGCGUGAAAGCCCCGGGCUCAACCUGGGAACCGCGCUUGAAACUAGCGGGCUUGAGUGUGGCAGAGGGGGGUGGAAUUCCACGUGUAGCAGUGAAAUGCGUAGAGAUGUGGAGGAACACCGAUGGCGAAGGCAGCCCCCUGGGUCAACACUGACGCUCAUGCACGAAAGCGUGGGGAGCAAACAGG